rnacentral:rRNA from 1 species
UACGGAGGGGACUAGCGUUGUUCGGAAUUACUGGGCGUAAAGCGCACGUAGGCGGAUUUGUAAGUCAGGGGUGAAAUCCCGGGGCUCAACCUGGGAACCGCGCUUGAGACUGGAGAACUAGAGUUCGGGAGAGGAUGGUGGAAUUCCCAGUGUAGAGGUGAAAUUCGUAGAUAUUGGGAAGAACACCGAUGGCGAAGGCAGCCAUCUGGACCGACACUGACGCUGAGGCGCGAAAGCGUGGGGAGCAAACAGG